AACGAACGCUGGCGGCAUGCCUAACACAUGCAAGUCGAACGAGAUCUUCGGGUCUAGUGGCGCACGGGUGCGUAACGCGUGGGAAUCUGCCCUUUGGUUCGGAAUAACAGUUGGAAACGACUGCUAAUACCGGAUGAUGACGAAAGUCCAAAGAUUUAUCGCCAGAGGAUGAGCCCGCGUAGGAUUAGCUGGUUGGUGUGGUAAAGGCGCACCAAGGCGACGAUCCUUAGCUGGUCUGAGAGGAUGACCAGCCACACUGGGACUGAGACACGGCCCAGACUCCUACGGGAGGCAGCAGUGGGGAAUAUUGGACAAUGGGCGAAAGCCUGAUCCAGCAAUGCCGCGUGAGUGAUGAAGGCCUUAGGGUUGUAAAGCUCUUUUACCCGGGAUGAUAAUGACAGUACCGGGAGAAUAAGCUCCGGCUAACUCCGUGCCAGCCGCCGCGGUAA
rnacentral:rRNA from 1 species